rnacentral:rRNA from 1 species
UACGUAGGGUGCAAGCGUGAAUCGGAAUUACUGGGCGUAAAGCGUGCGCAGGCGGUUUUGUAAGUCUGUCGUGAAAUCCCCGGGCUCAAUCUGGGAAUUGCGAUGGAGACUGCAAGGCUAGAAUCUGGCAGAGGGGGGUAGAAUUCCACGUGUAGCAGUGAAAUGCGUAGAGAUGUGGAGGAACACCGAUGGCGAAGGCAGCCCCCUGGGUCAAGAUUGACGCUCAUGCACGAAAGCGUGGGGAGCAAACAGG